rnacentral:misc_RNA from 1 species
GAUGAAGAACGUAGCGAAAUGCGAUAAGUAAUGUGAAUUGCAGAAUUCAGUGAAUCAUCGAAUCUUUGAACGCACAUUGCGCCCUCUGGUAUUCCGGGGGGCAUGCCUGUUCGAGCGUCAUUAUAACCACUCAAGCUCUCGCUUGGUAUUGGGGUUCGCGGUUCCGCGGCCCCUAAAAUCAGUGGCGGUGCCUGUCGGCUCUACGCGUAGUAAUACUCCUCGCGAUUGGGUCCGGUAGGUCUACUUGCCAGCAACCCCCAAUUUUUACAGGUUGACCUCGGAUCAGGUAGGGAUACCCGCUGAACUUAAGCAUAUCAAUAAGCGGAGGA